AGAGUUUGAUCCUGGCUCAGGAUUAACGCUAGCGGUGCGCCUAAUACAUGCAAGUCGAGCGAGGCUUCGAGCCGAGCGGCGGACGGCUGAGUAACACGUUGGUACCUACCCCGUACUCAGGGAUAAGUUUCUGAAAGGAAACCUAAUACCGGAUGGUCUCCGUACUUUUUUGUUCAUUUCUAAGUGAAGUGGUCAAGAAAGUGCGGAGUAAAGAUUUAUCGGUACGGGAGGGGCCUGCGGCCUAUCAGGUAGUUGGUGGGGUAAAAGCCUACCAAGCCUAUGACGGGUAUCUGGUGUGAGAGCAUGACCAGACAGAAUGGGACUGAGACACGGCCCAUACUCCUACGGGAGGCAGCAGUAAGGAAUCUUCCACAAUGGGCGAAAGCCUGAUGGAGCGACACCGCGUGCAGGAUGACACCUUUCGGGGCGUAAACUGCUUUUCUGAGUGAAGAAAUUUUGACGUUAACUCAGGAAUAAGCACCGGCUAACUACGUGCCAGCAGCCGCGGUAAUACGUAGGGUGCGAGCGUUAUCCGGAAUUACUGGGCGUAAAGCGUCCGUAGCCGGACAUUCAAGUCUGAUGUUAAAUCCCGCAGCUCAACUGCGGAAUCGUAUUGGAAACUGAAUGUCUAGAGUGAUGCAGAGGUGCGUGGAAUUUAUAGUGUAGGGGUAAAAUCCGUUGAUACUAUAAGGAACACCAAAAGCGAAGGCAGCGUACUGGGCAUCUACUGACGGUCAGGGACGAAAGCGUGGGGAGCAAAAAGGAUUAGAUACCCUUGUAGUCCACGCCGUAAACUAUGGAUAUUCGACGUUCGGGGAUUCGACCCCCUGAGUGUCUUAGCUAACGCGUUAAAUAUCCCGCCUGGGGAGUACGGUCGCAAGAUUAAAACUCAAAGGAAUAGACGGGACCCACACAAGCGGUGGAUCAUGGGGUUUAAUUCGUCAAUACGCGGAG
rnacentral:rRNA from 1 species